rnacentral:rRNA from 1 species
AACGCUAGCUACAGGCUUAACACAUGCAAGUCGAGGGGAAACGAUAUUGGAAGCUUGCUUCCGAUAGGCGUCGACCGGCGCACGGGUGAGUAACGCGUAUCCAACCUGCCCACCACUUGGGGAUAACCUUGCGAAAGUAAGACUAAUACCCAAUGAUAUCUCUAGAAGACAUCUGAAAGAGAUUAAAGAUUUAUCGGUGAUGGAUGGGGAUGCGUCUGAUUGGCUUGUUGGCGGGGUAACGGCCCACCAAGGCAACGAUCAGUAGGGGUUCUGAGAGGAAGGUCCCCCACAUUGGAACUGAGACACGGUCCAAACUCCUACGGGAGGCAGCAGUGAGGAAUAUUGGUCAAUGGACGAGAGUCUGAACCAGCCAAGUAGCGUGCAGGAAGACGGCCCUAUGGGUUGUAAACUGCUUUUAUAAGGGAAUAAAGUGAGUCUCGUGAGACUUUUUGCAUGUACCUUAUGAAUAAGGACCGGCUAAUUCCGUGCCAGCAGCCGCGGUAAUACGGAAGGUCCGGGCGUUAUCCGGAUUUAUUGGGUUUAAAGGGAGCGUAGGCCGGAGAUUAAGCGUGUUGUGAAAUGUAGAUGCUCAACAUCUGCACUGCAGCGCGAACUGGUUUCCUUGAGUACGCACAAAGUGGGCGGAAUUCGUGGUGUAGCGGUGAAAUGCUUAGAUAUCACGAAGAACUCCGAUUG